CGCUGGCAGGCCGGACGUCAACAGGCAGAGUUUAUUUGGAGGAAACAGACAAGGAAAGGGGCACCUUUGUGCCUGGGCUGAGGAAGCUUUAUCAAAAAGCAUUCAUCCAUCCCUUCCUUCUUCCAAUGCUGAGGCGCCAUAGGAUUUGCUACAGAAAUGUGCCUGCGGCUCUGCGGGGACCCAGGAUGCGAUGGCCAAUUGUCAUCUCUCACCCCCUGGCCCAGUGAUUGGAACACGUGACCCAACUCCGGCCAAUGAGACACGUUCCUGAGACUUUGGGUGGAACUCCUGGCAAACAGAAGCUCUUUGCGCACCCACCCGGCAUGCGGGUCUCCGGGGAGAGGCGCUCCCUUGCGCGGUUUGCACGUUUCUGUUGGGGAGAGUCUUCCUGUGAAUAAAGGCACCACAGAGGCAA